UGGGGAAUUUUGGACAAUGGGCGAAAGCCUGAUCCAGCAAUGCCGCGUGUGUGAAGAAGGCCUUCGGGUUGUAAAGCACUUUUGUCCGGAAAGAAAUCCUUGGCUCUAAUACAGUCGGGGGAUGACGGUACCGGAAGAAUAAGCACCGGCUAACUACGUGCCAGCAGCCGCGGUAAUACGUAGGGUGCGAGCGUUAAUCGGAAUUACUGGGCGUAAAGCGUGCGCAGGCGGUUUGCUAAGACCGAUGUGAAAUCCCCGGGCUCAACCUGGGAACUGCAUUGGUGACUGGCAGGCUAGAGUAUGGCAGAGGGGGGUAGAAUUCCACGUGUAGCAGUGAAAUGCGUAGAGAUGUGGAGGAAUACCGAUGGCGAAGGCAGCCCCCUGGGCCAAUACUGACGCUCAUGCACGAAAGCGUGGGGAGCAAACAGGAUUAGAUACCCUGGUAGUCCACGCCCUAAACGAUGUCAACUAGUUGUUGGGGAUUCAUUUCCUUAGUAACGUAGCUAACGCGUGAAGUUGACCGCCUGGGGAGUACGGUCGCAAGAUUAAAACUCAAAGGAAUUGACGGGGACCCGCACAAGCGGUGGAUGAUGUGGAUUAAUUCGAUGCAACGCGAAAAACCUUACCUACCCUUGACAUGGUCGGAAUCCCGCUGAGAGGCGGGAGUGCUCGAAAGAGAACCGGCGCACAGGUGCUGCAUGGCUGUCGUCAGCUCGUGUCGUGAGAUGUUGGGUUAAGUCCCGCAACGAGCGCAACCCUUGUCUUUAGUUGCUACGCAAGAGCACUCUAAGGAGACUGCCGGUGACAAACCGGAGGAAGGUGGGGAUGACGUCAAGUCCUCAUGGCCCUUAUGGGUAGGGCUUCACACGUCAUACAAUGGUCGGAACAGAGGGUUGCCAACCCGCGAGGGGGAGCUAAUCCCAGAAAACCGAUCGUAGUCCGGAUUGCACUCUGCAACUCGAGUGCAUGAAGCUGGUUCCUAGUAAUCGCGGAUCAGCAUGCCGCGGUGAAGAGAACCCAUGCCUUGUACACACCGC
rnacentral:rRNA from 1 species